rnacentral:rRNA from 1 species
GCUUAACACAUGCAAGUCGAGGGGCAGCAUGGUCUUAGCUUGCUAAGGCCGAUGGCGACCGGCGCACGGGUGAGUAACACGUAUCCAACCUGCCGUCUACUCUUGGACAGCCUUCUGAAAGGAAGAUUAAUACAAGAUGGCAUCAUGAGUCCGCAUGUUCACAUGAUUAAAGGUAUUCCGGUAGACGAUGGGGAUGCGUUCCAUUAGAUAGUAGGCGGGGUAACGGCCCACCUAGUCUUCGAUGGAUAGGGGUUCUGAGAGGAAGGUCCCCCACAUUGGAACUGAGACACGGUCCAAACUCCUACGGGAGGCAGCAGUGAGGAAUAUUGGUCAAUGGGCGAGAGCCUGAACCAGCCAAGUAGCGUGAAGGAUGACUGCCCUAUGGGUUGUAAACUUCUUUUAUAAAGGAAUAAAGUCGGGUAUGCAUACCCGUUUGCAUGUACUUUAUGAAUAAGGAUCGGCUAACUCCGUGCCAGCAGCCGCGGUAAUACGGAGGAUCCGAGCGUUAUCCGGAUUUAUUGGGUUUAAAGGGAGCGUAGAUGGAUGUUUAAGUCAGUUGUGAAAGUUUGCGGCUCAACCGUAAAAUUGCAGUUGAUACUGGAUAUCUUGAGUGCAGUUGAGGCAGGCGGAAUUCGUGGUGUAGCGGUGAAAUGCUUAGAUAUCACGAAGAACUCCGAUUGCGAAGGCAGCCUGCUAAGCUGCAACUGACAUUGAGGCUCGAAAGUGUGGGUAUCAAACAGGAUUAGAUACCCUGGUAGUCCACACGGUAAACGAUGAAUACUCGCUGUUUGCGAUAUACAGCAAGCGGCCAAGCGAAAGCGUUAAGUAUUCCACCUGGGGAGUACGCCGGCAACGGUGAAACUCAAAGGAAUUGACGGGGGCCCGCACAAGCGGAGGAACACGUGGUUUAAUUCGAUGAUACGCGAGGAACCUUACCCGGGCUUAAAUUGCAGAUGAAUUACGGUGAAAGCCGUAAGCCGCAAGGCAUCUGUGAAGGUGCUGCAUGGUUGUCGUCAGCUCGUGCCGUGAGGUGUCGGCUUAAGUGCCAUAACGAGCGCAACCCUUGUUGUCAGUUACUAACAGGUUCCGCUGAGGACUCUGACAAGACUGCCAUCGUAAGAUGUGAGGAAGGUGGGGAUGACGUCAAAUCAGCACGGCCCUUACGUCCGGGGCUACACACGUGUUACAAUGGGGGGGUACAGAGGGCCGCUACCACGCGAGUGGAUGCCAAUCCCAAAAACCUCUCUCAGUUCGGACUGGAGUCUGCAACCCGACUCCACGAAGCUGGAUUCGCUAGUAAUCGCGCAUCAGCCACGGCGCGGUGAAUACGUUCCCGGGCCUUGUACACACCGCCCGUCAAGCCAUGGGAGCCGGGGGUACCUGAAGUGCGUAACCGCGAGGAGCGCCCUAGGGUAAAACUGGUGACUGGGGCUAAGU